rnacentral:rRNA from 1 species
UGGGGAAUAUUGGACAAUGGGCGAAAGCCUGAUCCAGCCAUGCCGCGUGUGUGCAGAAGGUCUUCGGAUUGUAAAGCACUUUAAGUUGGGAGGAAGGGCAUUAACCUAAUACGUUAGUGUUUUGACGUUACCGACAGAAUAAGCACCGGCUAACUCUGUGCAAGCAGCCGCGGUAAUACAGAGGGUGCAAGCGUUAAUCGGAAUUACUGGGCGUAAAGCGCGCGUAGGUGGUUUGUUAAGUUGGAUGUGAAAUCCCCGGGCUCAACCUGGGAACUGCAUUCAAAACUGACUGACUAGAGUAUGGUAGAGGGUGGUGGAAUUUCCUGUGUAGCGGUGAAAUGCGUAGAUAUAGGAAGGAACACCAGUGGCGAAGGCGACCACCUGGACUAAUACUGACACUGAGGUGCGAAAGCGUGGGGAGCAAACA